rfam:Oryza glumipatula chromosome 12, whole genome shotgun sequence.
AAAAAGGCAAACCACGGGUUUGCGUGCCAACGUUUGACUGUCUAUCUUAUAUAAAAUUUUUUUAUAAUUAGUAUUUUCAUUGUUGUUAGAUGAUAAAACAUGAUGAAUAUUUUAUGCGUGACUUAUCUUUUUAAUUUUUUUCAUAAUUUUUUUAAAUAAGACGGACGGUCAAAUAUUGGACACGGAAACCAGAGUUUGUCCUUUUU